rnacentral:rRNA from 1 species
CCUACGGGUGGCAGCAGUCGAGAAUCUUUCACAAUGGGGGAAACCCUGAUGGUGCGACGCCGCGUGGGGGAAUGAAGGUCUUCGGAUUGUAAACUCCUUUCAUGUGGGAGCAAAUUAAAAAGCUGGUACCACAAGAGGAAGAGACGGCUAACUCUGUGCCAGCAGCCGCGGUAAUACAGAGGUCUCAAGCGUUGUUCGGAAUCACUGGGCGUAAAGCGUGCGUAGGCUGUUUCGUAAGUCGUGUGUGAAAGGCGCGGGCUCAACCCGCGAACGGCACAUGAUACUGCGAGGCUAGAGUGAUGGAGGGGGAAGCGGAAUGCUCGGUGUAGCAGUGAAAUGCGUAGAUAUCGAGAGGAACACUCGUGGCGAAGGCGGGUUCCUGGACAUUAACUGACGCUGAGGCACGAAGGCCAGGGGAGCGAAAGGGAUUAGAUACCCCAGUAGUC